rnacentral:rRNA from 1 species
GACGAACGCUGGCGGCGUGCUUAACACAUGCAAGUCGAACGGUAAGGUUCCAGCUUGCUGGGGUACACGAGUGGCGAACGGGUGAGUAACACGUGGGUGACCUGCCCUGCACUUCGGGAUAAGCCUGGGAAACUGGGUCUAAUACCGGAUAGGACCGCACCGUGAGGGUGUGGUGGAAAGUUUUUUCGGUGUGGGAUGGGCCCGCGGCCUAUCAGCUUGUUGGUGGGGUAAUGGCCUACCAAGGCGGCGACGGGUAGCCGGCCUGAGAGGGUGGACGGCCACAUUGGGACUGAGACACGGCCCAGACUCCUACGGGAGGCAGCAGUGGGGAAUAUUGCACAAUGGGCGGAAGCCUGAUGCAGCGACGCCGCGUGGGGGAUGACGGCCUUCGGGUUGUAAACUCCUUUCACCAUCGACGAAGGGUUUCUGACGGUAGAUGGAGAAGAAGCACCGGCUAACUACGUGCCAGCAGCCGCGGUAAUACGUAGGGUGCGAGCGUUGUCCGGAAUUACUGGGCGUAAAGAGCUCGUAGGUGGUUUGUCGCGUCGUCUGUGAAAUUCCGGGGCUUAACUCCGGGCGUGCAGGCGAUACGGGCAUAACUUGAGUACUGUAGGGGAGACUGGAAUUCCUGGUGUAGCGGUGAAAUGCGCAGAUAUCAGGAGGAACACCGGUGGCGAAGGCGGGUCUCUGGGCAGUAACUGACGCUGAGGAGCGAAAGCAUGGGGAGCGAACAGGAUUAGAUACCCUGGUAGUCCAUGCCGUAAACGGUGGGCGCUAGGUGUGGGUUUCCUUCCACGGGAUCCGUGCCGUAGCUAACGCAUUAAGCGCCCCGCCUGGGGAGUACGGCCGCAAGGCUAAAACUCAAAGGAAUUGACGGGGGCCCGCACAAGCGGCGGAGCAUGUGGAUUAAUUCGAUGCAACGCGAAGAACCUUACCUGGGCUUGACAUAUACAGGAUCGCGCCAGAGAUGGUGUUUCCCUUGUGGCUUGUAUACAGGUGGUGCAUGGUUGUCGUCAGCUCGUGUCGUGAGAUGUUGGGUUAAGUCCCGCAACGAGCGCAACCCUUGUCUUAUGUUGCCAGCACGUUGUGGUGGGGACUCGUAAGAAACUGCCGGGGUUAACUCGGAGGAAGGUGGGGAUGACGUCAAAUCAUCAUGCCCCUUAUGUCCAGGGCUUCACACAUGCUACAAUGGUCGGUACAGUGGGUUGCCAGUCCGUGAGGGCGAGCUAAUCCCGCAAAGCCGGUCUCAGUUCGGAUCGGGGUCUGCAACUCGACCCCGUGAAGUCGGAGUCGCUAGUAAUCGCAGAUCAGCAACGCUGCGGUGAAUACGUUCCCGGGCCU